UGUCGCGAAAAAUAUUUUUAUUUUUACUUAUUACACAAAAAUAAAAAAAUUAAUUUUAAAAUGUUUGUAUGUAUUUAUGUAUAUUAAAGGUAUAUAUAAUUUAAUUUAAUGUAGAAUUAUUAUGUGUAUAAAAAGCUUCUCGUUUAAUAAGGAAACAAGCAGCAAAUAAUAAAAAUGGCUUUUUAAUAAAUUAUUUUAUCAAUUAUUAUCAACUAUGUUUUGUUGAUCUCUUUAAUUUUUUUUUAGAUGAGAGUAGUAUGUUAAAAAGAGAAUAAAAUGAUGCUGUUAAGAGAUUUGUAGUGUACUUGUAUUUGGUUGGUGAUGUUUUUUCUUGAUAAUUUCGAUGAUGACGACGAUUAAUUUAAUCAAUCAAUCGUACACACAUAAAAAUGUCACUUAUCUACGUAAACAAAAGGUUCAAGAAAUUUUUUGUCUAAAGAUUUUAAAUGUUAUCGACCAGAAGUAACAAAUACGACUAACUGGAGAAAAAGGUUUACCUUAAUAUAAGUAUUAAAUGAAGAAAAAGAUAAAGGUAAAAAAAAAACAAAGAUAACAGAAUAAAGUUAUACCUAUUCCUUUUCGAUUACAACAAGCAGCAUAAUUUAAUCCACUCAACUGUAAUGAGCCAUAUUUUUGAGAUGUUUAAUAUGUAAACGUAACUACUAUCCAAAAUGAGCAGAAAUAUCUUGAAUAAUAUGUAAUUGAGUGUUAAGGAUAUACAAAUAUUAUUUUUAUAACACGUAUACAAAUAUAAAAAAAAUUUCAGGAUAGCAGUAAACCUAAGUAAGAAAAGACAAAAAAAAAACUGAAGAUUUAUGAGUCCUUGAAAACUACCCGAAAUGAAUAGCUAUGAUAUGUGAUUGAAAUAUUGGAUAUG